AUCUAUGGCCAUACGACUCUGAACAUGCCGGAUCUCGUCUAAUCUUGGAAGCUAAGCAGGGUCGGGCCUGGUUAGUACCUGGAUGGGAGACCGCCUGGGAAUACCGGGUGCUGUAGGCU
ensembl:rRNA 5S_rRNA 5S ribosomal RNA